rnacentral:piRNA from 1 species
UCACGUAAUAUGCUAUCAUUGCUGGUUG